AGGCCAGCUGGCGUUGGUUGUCCAAGUUUAGGUGGUAGGCUGAAAUCUUAGGUAAAUCCGGGGUUUCAAGGCCGAGAGCUGAUGACGAGUCGUCUUUAGAUGACGAAGUGGUUGAUGCCAUGCUUCCAAGAAAGCUUCUAAGCUUCAGGUAACCAGGAACCGUACCCCAAACCGACACAGGUGGUCGGGUAGAGAAUACCAAGGCGCUUGAGAGAACUCGGGUGAAGGAACUAGGCAAAAUGGCACCGUAACUUCGGGAGAAGGUGCGCCGGCUAGGGUGAAGGAUUUACUCCGUAAGCUCUGGCUGGUCGAAGAUACCAGGCCGCUGCGACUGUUUAUUAAAAACACAGCACUCUGCAAACACGAAAGUGGACGUAUAGGGUGUGACGCCUCCCCGGUGCCGGAAGGUUAAUUGAUGGGGUUAGCGCAAGCGAAGCUCUUGAUCGAAGCCCCGGUAAACGGCGGCCGUAACAUAACGGUCCUAAGGUAGCGAAGUUCCUUGUCGGGUAAGUUCCGACCUGCACGAAUGGCGUAACGAUGGCGGCGCUGUCUCCACCCGAGACUCAGUGAAAUUGAAAUCGCUGUGAAGAUGCAGUGUAUCCGCGGCUGACGGAAAGACCCCGUGAACCUUUACUGGCUUUGCACUGGACUUUGAGCCUGCUUGUAGGAUAGGUGGGAGGCUUUGAAGCGUGGACGCCAGUUCGCGUGGAGCCAUCCUUGAAAUACCACCCUGGCAUGCUUGAGGUUCUAACUCUGGUCCGUAAUCCGGAUCGAGGACAGUGUAUGGUGGGCAGUUUGACUGGGGCGGUCUCCUCCUAAAGUAACGGAGGAGUACGAAGGUGCGCUCAGACCGGUCGGAAAUCGGUCGCAGAGUAAAAGGCAAAGCGCUUGACUGCGAGACAGACACGUCGAGCAGGUACGAAAGUAGGUCUUAGUGAUCCGGUGGUUCUGUAUGGAAGGGCCAUCGCUCAACGGAUAAAAGUACUCCGGGAUAACAGGCUGAUACCGCCCAAGAGUUCAUAUCGACGGCGGUGUUUGGCACCUCGAUGUCGGCUCAUCACAUCCUGGGGCUGAAGCCGGUCCCAAGUAUGGCUGUUCGCCAUUUAAAGUGGUACGCGAGCUGGGUUUAGAACGUCGUGAGACAGUUCGGUCCCUAUCUGCCGUGGACGUUUGAGAUUUGAGAGGGCUGCUCCUAGUACGAGAGGACCGGAGUGGACGAACCUCUGGUGUUCCGGUUGUCACGCCAGUGGCAUUGCCGGGUAGCUAUGUUCGGAAAAGAUAACCGCUGAAAGCAUCUAAGCGGGAAACUUGCCUCAAGAUGAGAUCUCACUGGGAACUUGAUUCCCCUGAAGGGCCGUCGAAGACUACGACGUUGAUAGGCUGGGUGUGUAAGCGUUGUGAGGCGUUGAGCUAACCAGUACUAAUUGCCCGU
rnacentral:rRNA from 1 species